AUGUGAUAGAAUUUAUCUUGAUUCCAAGGCUCAAGCUUAUAGGUGUCAUAUAAUGAUAUCCUAUAUUAAAAUUGGCUAACUUGGACUCAGGAAAUGCUUGAUGCUUAAAGCGGCACUGUCAUGCCGAAUUCUGUUUUUUUUUUAACCCCCCUCCCGCCUCCACUACAUCCAAUUGACCCACUAGUCACCCCCAAAUGCCCCUAAGCCCCCCACAUUACCUAUUUUUAAAUCCUUAUUUUCUGCCCCGAUCUAUAUUCAGGGCGCAGCCAUCUUUGUG